UAAAGUGGGCUCUAUAAGAAAUCAUAUGGGCUCAUGAUGCAAAACUAAUAGCUAUGGACGUUUUCAAACAUCGUCUUCUCGGCUUGCUUUUAGGGUUCUUUGUACUGAAGAUUAGAUUAGAUCAAACUUCAAUGGAGGUUAGUUUUGCAUCAUGACGUUUUGUUCCUGUGUCGGUCUCCUUCAUGACGUUUCGUUCCUGAUUCAUCUCCUCCUUUACGUUAUGUAAUUAAGUGUUCAUCGCCCAUUAACAUCGUUCUUUACUACUUGGACCCCCUCACCCACGAUUCAUCAUUCAAUACUUCUCUUCUCCUUCUUAGGCGGUGAAAACUUCACCUAUAAAAAGUCACCAAGAAUAAAGUCGAUCGCGAUCUCAAAGCUAGGAACACCGGAGGUUCUGCUCUGAUGAACAGUUUAUGACGAUGAGUUUCUUAUUAGCUCUUACCUUGGUCGCAGCUGCUCUGGAACCAUCGAAUCCAUUGGCAAGGAAAGUCCUUCUCUCGCUGGAAAGUCGGAAACCAGUUAGGUAUUACUGAGUUUACAACACUGUGGUUAGGGAUUAUGACACUCAUCUGUAUUAAGUUCCCUUGAGAUCUUUUUUUUUUGAAAAAAAAACUAAAAGUUUCCUUGAGAUAUGUGAGCUUGAUUAUAAGAUUGGUGUGAAUAUGCUGCUCGGUUCUCAUAUUUAUGUUCUUAGUGACUUAUAAUUCGGUAAUACAACAAUUGAGUUAGUGUUAGAGAGGUUUCUGGUUGCAAUUCGUUUUGAUUUGUUUAGUUGUUGAUUAAUCUUAUUCCAGUUUGUGAUUGAUUGCUUCAAAGCCUCUACUUAAGCUUAGAUCAAAUUCUUCAACUUCUGGAACUUUCUCUGUCUUCGGAUUGUGCUCUUCUUUCUGGAGGAGGAGGAUACGCAGAAAAAGUUAUUGUACCAAUUCGAAAAAACCUUCCUAAAAGAUUCAGCAGCUUUCCAUAAGGUGGUGCUUGGUUUCCUUGGAGUGGAAGAAGGCUUCUGAAUUCACGUAAGUUUGCUUCUUCUCCUUUUGUUUCGUGAUGGUCCUUUUAUACUUACUUUAGGCUUAUUUAAUCUUCUUUUCCGCUACAAAUCUCUCUGCAUAUAAUCUUCCUAGAUAUUCAGUUAUAGUUCUUGGCCUAACUACGUUGAGUGAAAAUAUGUAGCUCGGGGUAGGAAACAUAUUUUGAAUUAGGAUUCUGCUAAAGAACGUUUGGAAUCCAGCUUUUUAUUUACUUCCAUGCUUUCUAUCUAGAGGGUAAUUUUAGAAUCGGAACCAAGAUUAGAUCUGGCUCUAGGUUAUGAUGAUGUGAACGGCGAGCAUCCGAAAUCGACACAGUUCUCAGCAGAAGUUUAGCCUCCAGAAGCAACUACGACGGCGAUGAUACUGUCACGAUGGCUUACUAUGAUGCUAGAAAAUCUUUGGAGCAAGACAGAAAAAUAGCAACUAUUUUUCGCCAGCACCUUCGAGAGGAACAUGCCUAGAAUACAAAUCAGUGUUGGUUACAAAUGUUACAGUACUCAUGUUUUCUACAUGAGUGGAAGUAGAACUGUAGGAGUAACAUCAUGAGCCGUAUCCAUAGCCGAAACCCAUUGCAGAGAGUAUGAUGAGAUGCCAGAGGAUCCUGCCACGCACACAAGACAAAGGCCAGAAAGAGAAAUUGAUGGUAGAUAUGGUGACUACGACUUUGUCUGUAUUGCAAAUUGCUUUCUGGUCCAUUAAAAAAACUUUUAAUUUAUAGUUUUAAAUUCUAAA